GAUGAAGAACGCAGCGAAAUGCGAUAAGUAAUGUGAAUUGCAGAAUUCAGUGAAUCAUCGAAUCUUUGAACGCACCUUGCACCCUUUGGCAUUCCGAAGGGUAUGCUCGUUUGAGUGUCAUUGUACUCUCACACUCCCACUCUUUUGGAUUGGGAGCGGUGGACUUGGGUGUUGCUGCUUCACUGUGGCUCGCCUCAAAUGGAGUAGUGCAACUCUCGGUUGGACAUAGUACGGCGUGAUAAGUGUCUUCGCCGGCGCCUCACUAGAGGGUGGCCGAUCGGGAGCUCUGUGCUUCAAACCGUCUUUGGACAAUCUCUGACAACUUGACCUCAAAUCGAGUAGGACUACCCGCUGAACUUAAGCAUAUCAAUAAGCGGAGGA
rnacentral:misc_RNA from 1 species